rnacentral:rRNA from 1 species
GAUGAACGCUGGCGGCGUGCCUAAUACAUGCAAGUCGAGCGAACAGAUGAGGAGCUUGCUCCUCUGACGUUAGCGGCGGACGGGUGAGUAACACGUGGAUAACCUACCUGUAAGACUGGGAUAACUUCGGGAAACCGGAGCUAAUACCGGAUAAUAUAUUGAACCGCAUGGUUCAAUAGUGAAAGACGGUUUUGCUGUCACUUAUAGAUGGAUCCGCGCCGCAUUAGCUAGUUGGUAAGGUAACGGCUUACCAAGGCAACGAUGCGUAGCCGAACUGAGAGGGUGAUCGGCCACACUGGAACUGAGACACGGUCCAGACUCCUACGGGAGGCAGCAGUAGGGAAUCUUCCGCAAUGGGCGAAAGCCUGACGGAGCAACGCCGCGUGAGUGAUGAAGGUCUUCGGAUCGUAAAACUCUGUUAUUAGGGAAGAACAAAUGUGUAAGUAACUAUGCACGUCUUGACGGUACCUAAUCAGAAAGCCACGGCUAACUACGUG